AUUAUUUUUUACAUUUAGUUUGUGUAUAAAAGAUAUUAAAUUUUUAUGUGUAGAAACUAAGAACAGACUAUUAAUAAUUUAUAGUACAGUAAUGGAAGAUUAUAAUAAGAUUAAAGUAAAAUUUU
rnacentral:rRNA from 1 species